rnacentral:rRNA from 1 species
CCUACGGGUGGCUGCAGUGGGGAAUAUUGGACAAUGGGCGAAAGCCUGAUCCAGCCAUGCCGCGUGUGUGAAGAAGGCCUUCGGGUUGUAAAGCACUUUCAGUGGGGAAGAAAGCCUUGGGGCUAAUACCCUCGAGGAAGGACAUCACCCACAGAAGAAGCACCGGCUAACUCCGUGCCAGCAGCCGCGGUAAUACGGAGGGUGCGAGCGUUAAUCGGAAUUACUGGGCGUAAAGCGCGCGUAGGCGGUCUGAUAAGCCGGUUGUGAAAGCCCCGGGCUCAACCUGGGAACGGCAUCCGGAACUGUCAGGCUAGAGUGCAGGAGAGGAAGGUAGAAUUCCCGGUGUAGCGGUGAAAUGCGUAGAGAUCGGGAGGAAUACCAGUGGUGAAGGCGGCCUUCUGGACUGACACUGACGCUGAGGUGCGAAAGCGUGGGUAGCAAACAGGAUUAGAUACCCCAGUAGUC